rnacentral:rRNA from 1 species
ACUCCGUACGGGAGGCAGCAGUGGGGAAUCUUGGACAAUGGGCGCAAGCCUGAUCCAGCCAUGCCGCGUGAGUGAUGAAGGCCUUAGGGUCGUAAAGCUCUUUCGCCAGAGAUGAUAAUGACAGUAUCUGGUAAAGAAACCCCGGCUAACUCCGUGCCAGCAGCCGCGGUAAUACGGAGGGGUUAGCGUUGUUCGGAAUUACUGGGCGUAAAGCGCACGUAGGCGGAUUAGUUAGUCAGAGGUGAAAUCCCGGGCUCAACCCGGAACUGCCUUUGAUACUGCUAAGUCUUGAGUUACGAGAGAGGUGAGUGGAAUUCCGAGUGUAGAGGUAGAAAUUCGUAGAUAUUCGGAGGAACACCAGU